AGCGAACGCUGGCGGUAGGCCUAACACAUGCCAGUCGAACGGCAGCACAGUAAGAGCUUGCUCUUACGGGUGGCGAGUGGCGGGCGGGUGACGUAUAUAUCCGGAUCUACUUUUUCGUGGGGGAUAACGUAGGGAAACUUACGCCAAUACCGCAUACGACCUACGGGUGAAAGCAUGGGAUCUUCGGACCUUGCGCGAAUGAAUGCGCCGAUGUCGGAUUAGCUAGUUGGCGGGGUAAAGGCCCACCAAGGCGACGAUCCGUAGCUCGUCUGAGAGACUGAUCGCCCACACUGGAACUGGAACACGGUCCAUGCUCCUACGGGAGGCAGCAGUGGGGUAUAUUAGACAAUGGGCGCAAGCCUGAUACAGCGAUACCGCGUGGGUGAAGAAGACCUUCGGGUUGUAAAGCCCUUUUGUUGGGAAAGAACAGCAGCCGGUUAAGACCCCGCUGUUCUGACGGUACUGGAAGAAUAAGCACCGGCUAACUUCGUG
rnacentral:rRNA from 1 species